GCCAGGUGCACACCUGUGGUCCCAGCCACUGGGGAGCCUGAGACAGGAGAAUUGCUUGAGUCCAGGAGUUCUGGACUGUGGUAUGCCAUGCCGACCAGGUGUCUGCACUAAGUUCAGCAUCAAUAUGGUGACCUCCCCGGAGCAGGGGACCACCAGGUGGCCUAAGGAGGGGUGAUCCAGCCCAGGUUCACCUUGUUUCAAAACAAAACCAAAAGAAAAAACCUGGCAUUGUGGUACAUGCCCUUGAUCCCAGCAUUCAGAAGACAGAUCUCUGUGAGUUCCAGCCCAUCCAGGGCAACAUAGUUAGAUCCUGCCUCUA
rnacentral:SRP_RNA from 1 species